rnacentral:rRNA from 1 species
UGGGGAAUAUUGGCACAAUGGGCGCAAGGCCUGAUGCAGCAACGCCGCGUGAGGGAUGACGGCCUUCGGGCUUGUAAAACCUCUUUUAGUAGGGAAGAAGCGAAAGUGACGGUACCUGCAGAAAAAGCACCGGCUAACUACGUGCCAGCAGCCGCGGUAAUACGUAGGGUGCGAGCGUUGUCCGGAAUUAUUGGGCGUAAAGAGCUCGUAGGCGGUCUGUCGCGUCUGCUGUGAAAACCCGAGGCUCAACCUCGGGCCUGCAGUGGGUACGGGCAGACUAGAGUGCGGUAGGGGAGAAUGGAAUUCCUGGUGUAGCGGUGGAAUGCGCAGAUAUCAGGAGGAACACCGAUGGCGAAGGCAGUUCUCUGGGCCGUAACCGACGCUGAGGAGCGAAAGCGUGGGGAGCGAACAGGAUUAGAUACCCUGGUAGUCCACGCCGUAAACGUUGGGCGCUAGAUGUGGGGACCAUUCCACGGUUUCCGUGUCGCAGCUAACGCAUUAAGCGCCCCGCCUGGGGAGUACGGCCGCAAGGCUAAAACUC